rnacentral:lncRNA from 10 species
GGAGGAGGAGGAGGCGGCGGGCUGGAGGGACGGCGAGGCUCUGGGCGGGCGGCGGGCGGGAGCGCGGCGCUCCGGGCCGGGGCGGGGGCGCGGGUGCUGCGGGGACCGAGCAGCGGGGCAAGUGCCCGGGAGAGACCAGCGCGGCGGGGAGCGCGGGGCUGAGGCCGGUCUCUCGCCUGCCUCGGCUCUGCUCGCGCCUCCGGCUCAGGGCUCGAAGCGCGGGGUCUGCGCGCGGCGGGGGCUGCGGAGGAGCCCGAGCGCCUGGCGGUGCGGGGACGUGCGGCGGCGGCGAGACCGAGCCGCGCUGCGUGCGAGGAAAAGCCGUCCUUAUACUGACACCAAAUGUCUUCGGGGAAAGCUGCAGGCGCGGGACGCUGGAGGGGGGAGGCGUGGAGGCGACAGACAGACUGACGGCGGCGGCUGGCUUGGCUGAAAGGCCACCUCCUCCAGGAAGGCUUCUCAGAGGGCCCCCAGGUGAAACAGAUGCCUCUAUCCGGCUGCAAAGGCUUCAUUCUCACCACUUUCCAGGACCCUGUCACACCAGUUCCCCCAAUCCCACGCUCCUGAGGCCUGUCUCCCUUCCUCUCUCACCCAAGGGCUGUGGAUUGGGGAGAGGGAGUGUUCAAGGUUAUAACCCCCUUUUAUUUGUUCAUUUGCAUCCAGCCAAACAAAUUAAAAGCACCAAGACUCUCCCC